UCCUUAGAGAGAUGGGAAUCGAACCCAUAAUUAAGAGAUCAAAGCUCUUUAUAAUUCCAUUUUACUACCC
rnacentral:tRNA from 1 species